rnacentral:lncRNA from 1 species
CCGUCCUCUGUUAAGUGAUUACAUAAAAUCUACGUAAAAUAUUAUCGGAUACCCCUUGUCCUUUACAGUAAUCAUGGCAGUGAAAGAAUUAGUGGUACUAUUUUUACAAUCAAAUACAAACCAAAAAUGAAAAUUCAAUGAGGAAAACAUGAAUUGAAAUGUCUAGCUGAAAUACUCUGGACAUCUCUUAUCUAUGUAACCAACCAAGAC